GGGGAUGCAGCUCAGUUGGCAGAGCACUUGCCUUGCAUGCAUAAAGCCCUAGGUUUGAUCCCUAGCACCA
rnacentral:tRNA from 1 species